CUGCAAACGCCGCAAACGCACCAUCAAUCUGAUCAGUGUUUGCAUCGCCAAAAUAUUAUUUCUGGCCACUUGAUUCCAUUUCCCCGACCAGGCAUCCAGCCAAACCCUAAAGCGGCUGAAGCAAAGGAGAAGAAAUAUCUCUACUCGUUCUUUUCAUAUACCGGAAUCGAUGAUCUCCUCGAAUCGAUUCCAGGUGGAAUCGAAUAUUCAGCGGUUCCAACAACCGCCGCAGGAUUUCUGCUUCGGAAUGCUACAAUUUUUGAUGGGAUUGAUUGAACUUAGGGUCCCAGAAGAAGCAUCAGAGCAGGCGUCUUCUUCUUCAUCUAAGCAGCAGAGAUAGUCGGAGAAUGCUAUGGGGUAGUUUAUCUCCCUCCAGUACUUCCUUCACCACUUAAGGUGGUGAUACGAGUUUCCUAGUGCCUUAUUGUUGUAGAGCCAUGAAUUCAUCAGAACAGGCUUUGCGUCACUGAGAAUAUUGAACCGCUUGGCUGUAGGUUGAGCCUGGGUUACCACAUUGUGCUAUUUGUGCAUUGGAGAAGGAAUAAGAUUGUUGAAUUGCAGAACAAACAUGAGGAUUGAGAGGUGGAUUAACUGUCUUAGGUUGGCUGAGAUGGGGAGUGGUGUUUUGUGGACUGAUGUUAAAGGUAUAACUGAUAAGAAACAUGGAGUGAAUUGGAGUUGAAACGAAGCGAAGCGGAGGCAAAAUAGAGAACAGGGUAAAUCGGUAGACUGGCGCCUAUUCCCCAUAAAAUCCCAGAGAACCCGAGAAGGUGGUGCCUAGGCACUAUAACCGUCCUGUGCAGUUUCAGCACGCCCUCGUGAGUUAUUUGACAAAUUUGGAUGGUCGGAGAGGCACUUUUUGACAUUUCUAAGUUCUGGAAUUCUCUAAGAAUGCGAAGAGGUCAUAGAUAGGAGCUUGAUUUAGAUUAUUUCACUUGUUCUGAAGAGUUUUGAGAGGGGAAUUUGAGAGAAUUUAUAAGGGCUUUACUUCAACAUCUUGUGCAGCAUUGUGGAAGAUUUUGUCCUUGGAAUUUGCCUCUUUUUUUAGAGAGCAAAAACUAAGUAUCGAGUUUAAUAUUGUUUGAUUUCUAUUAU